rnacentral:antisense_RNA from 1 species
GACCGACAUCAGCGAUUCAUUCUGCGAACCCUGGCCCACGGCCAGAUAGGCGUUCAUGCCCAGCUCUUUCAUCUGCUGCUCGCCAAUCACGCGCGUAGUGAUGUUUUUGCUGUAGGCAUCCGCCAGCUGACGCGCCUGGGAGGCCAGGUAAGCCGCGUUACAGAUGUUCGGUGGCAUAUUGCCGAGGUCUUUUGC